rnacentral:rRNA from 1 species
AGGGGGCCUGCGGAAGGAUCAUUACAGAAUGAAAAGUGCUUAACUGCAUUUUUUCUUACACAUGUGUUUUUCUUUUUUUGAAAACUUUGCUUUGGUAGGCCUUCUAUAUGGGGCCUGCCAGAGAUUAAACUCAACCAAAUUUUAUUUAAUGUCAACCGAUUAUUUAAUAGUCAAAACUUUCAACAACGGAUCUCUUGGUUCUCGCAUCGAUGAAGAACGCAGCGAAAUGCGAUAAGUAAUAUGAAUUGCAGAUAUUCGUGAAUCAUCGAAUCUUUGAACGCACAUUGCGCCCUUUGGUAUUCCAAAGGGCAUGCCUGUUUGAGCGUCAUUUCUCCCUCAAACCCUCGGGUUUGGUGUUGAGCGAUACGCUGGGUUUGCUUGAAAGAAAGGCGGAGUAUAAACUAAUGGAUAGGUUUUUUCCACUCAUUGGUACAAACUCCAAAACUUCUUCCAAAUUCGACCUCAAAUCAGGUAGGACUACCCGCUGAACUUAAGCAUAUCAAAA